rnacentral:rRNA from 1 species
AUUGAACGCUGGCGGCAUGCUUUACACAUGCAAGUCGAACGGUAACAGGCCUUCGGGUGCUGACGAGUGGCGAACGGGGGAGUAAUGCAUCGGAACGUGCCCAGAGGCGGGGGAUAACGCAGCGAAAGCUGUGCUAAUACCGCAUGUGAUCUGAGGAUGAAAGCGGGGGACCAGGCAGCAAUGUUUGGCCUCGCGCCUUUGGAGCGGCCGAUGUCAGACUAGGUAGUUGGUGGGGUAAAGGCCUACCAAGCCGACGAUCUGUAGCUGGUCUGAGAGGACGACCAGCCACACUGGGACUGAGACACGGCCCAGACUCCUACGGGAGGCAGCAGUGGGGAAUUUUGGACAAUGGGCGCAAGCCUGAUCCAGCAAUGCCGCGUGCGGGAAGAAGGCCUUCGGGUUGUAAACCGCUUUUGUACGGAACGAAAAGGCUCUGGCUAAUACCUGGGGCUGAUGACGGUACCGUAAGAAUAAGCACCGGCUAACUACGUG